AAGGGAGACCUAAUUCAGGUAGGAGACGAAAAAAAAGUAGUCGCUACCAAGAAUCAAUCCCAAAAGGUCGGAGCGAGGCGAAAUUGGCUUUCAAACUAGGUUCUGGGUUCACACAAGACCUGAAUCAGGAACAAGGGCUAUUAGCUCAGGUGGUUAGAGCGCACCCCUGAUAAGGGUGAGGUCCCUGGUUCGAGUCCAGGAUGGCCCACCUGCACAGGUGGCAAAAACAAGAGAAGCGAGGAAUCAGCACCUUAUCUUAUCUAUAUAUAUAUAGGAGAGAAUGCUGGCUCUGAGUAAAGAGUCCAGAGGAACCUUGAAAACUGCAUAGAGCUAGGUGAAAAAGCCAAAAAAGAAGACCGCGAGGUCAAGCUAAUAAGGGCUAACGGUGGAUACCUAGGCAC
rnacentral:tRNA from 1 species